rnacentral:ncRNA from 1 species
AAACAAAGAUAAAAACACAACGCACCCACCGUCAGGCCGGUGCAGAGCCGGUAGGUAGUCCGGCCGUAUUCCCGCAUCCCUGUUUCAAAAGCAGGGACCAUGAGAAUGUAAGUAACCCUCCCUCCUUGGGUCGUCCGUUCUUUGUUCAU